rnacentral:rRNA from 1 species
UACGUAGGGAGCAAGCGUUAUCCGGAAUUAUUGGGUGUAAAGGGUGCGUAGACGGGAAAACAAGUUAGUUGCGAAAUCCCUCGGCUUAACUGAGGAACUGCAACUAAAACUAUUCUUCUUGAGUGCAGGAGAGGAAAGCGGAAUUCCUAGUGUAGCGGUGAAAUGCGUAGAUAUUAGGGGGAACACCAGUGGCGAAGGCGGCUUUCUGGACUGUAACUGACGUUGAGGCACGAAAGUGUGGGGAGCGAAC